rnacentral:rRNA from 1 species
AUUGAACGCUGGCGGCGUGCCUAACACAUGCAAGUCGAGCGGCAGCGCGGGAGCAAUCCUGGCGGCGAGCGGCGGACGGGUGAGCAAUAUUUGGGAAUCUGCCUAUUAGUGGGGGACAACCCGGGGAAACUCGGGCUAAUACCGCAUACGCACUACGGUGGAAAGCCGGGGACCGCAAGGCCUGGCGCUAAUAGAUGAGCCCAAAUCGGAUUAGCUAGUUGGUGAGGUAAUGGCUCACCAAGGCGACGAUCCGUAGCUGGUCUGAGAGGACGACCAGCCACACCGGAACUGAGACACGGUCCGGACUCCUACGGGAGGCAGCAGUGGGGAAUAUUGGACAAUGGGCGAAAGCCUGAUUCAGCGACGCCGCGUGGGUGAAGAAGGCCUGCGGGUUGUAAAGCCCUUUCGGUGGGGAAGAAAAGCCUCGACUUAAUACGUUGGGGUCUUGACGUAACCCAAGAAAGAAGCACCGGCUAACUCUGUGCCAGCCGCCGCCGUAACAC